AAUGAACGCUGGCGGCAUGCCUAACACAUGCAAGUCGAACGAGACCUUCGGGUCUAGUGGCGCACGGGUGCGUAACGCGUGGGAAUCUGCCCUUGGGUUCGGAAUAACAGUUAGAAAUGACUGCUAAUACCGAAUGAUGUCGUAAGACCAAAGAUUUAUCGCCCAGGGAUGAGCCCGCGUAGGAUUAGCUAGUUGGUGGGGUAAAGGCCUACCAAGGCUACGAUCCUUAGCGGUCUGAGAGGAUGAUCAGCCACACUGGGACUGAGACACGGCCCAGACUCCUACGGGAGGCAGCAGUGGGGAAUAUUGGACAAUGGGCGAAAGCCUGAUCCAGCAAUGCCGCGUGAGUGAAGAAGGCCUUCGGUUGUAAG
rnacentral:rRNA from 1 species